GGGUCAUAGCACCCUGAAUGCGCCCGAUCUCGUCUGAUCUCAGAAGCUAAGCAGGGUCGGGCCUGGUUAGUACUUGGUUGCGAGGUGUUGGAGAUAGAGGCUAGAAAUCUCU
rnacentral:rRNA from 1 species